rnacentral:siRNA from 1 species
AGGCCAUUUCUACUUGUUGCGGCU